GCUAUUGCUUAUGGGUGGAGAGCAGAAGACAACUGCUAGGAGUCAGUUCUUUCCUUCCACUGUGUAGGUCCUUUUGAUCAUCAAACUUGGUAGCAGUUUCCUUUACCUACCAAAUCAUCUAACAGGCCCUAAAAGACCAUUCUUAAUCCUAAAAGCCAUUGGAGACAGGAGGCAAGAUGGAGGUGGUAGAGACACUUUCAGAUGCUAAAAGAGAAGGUGAAGGCAACAGGAAUGAUGUGCACUUUUCUGCCCUGCAGGAUCUUCCACUGGGUAUCAGAUGUAUGCUAACGAAGCUGGAAGACCAUGAUAACACAAACCUUCUACAGCCCAUUUGCUGCGAGACUCCUUCAGAUCCUGCUGACAGGAAGGUAUUACAAUUUUGCUGGCAUCAGUGACCUGGCAUCUUGGAAUUAUCCCCUGCUUCAGUUUACAGAGGAAUAAACCGGUAAUUAAUUAUAUAUCA
rnacentral:lncRNA from 1 species